CGCCCCGCGCCCUGAGGGGAGGCCAGGCGUGCGCCAGCCUCGAGGAACCGAACCCUCAGACGCCGAGGCGUGAGCCUCAGUUUGACAUUGCACUUCUGAAUUAAAGCUGUGUUGACAAAUUUCAUCUGAAGGACUAGGAAGAACCAACUGUAGGAUUUGAAUAAUGUAGCCCAUGGUGUAUUCAACCUGUGUGCCAUGGGCCAUGUGUGGCUGAAGCAGCUGAAGACAGCUAGAAAUACAGCCCAUCACAAAGUGGCCAACUUACCUGAAGCAUGAGACUUUUUGUCCUUUCUUUUGUAAUUCGAUUGCAUGGUUCUUGAGCAUGAGUUCUGAAGAUGACAAGGCCCUGUUGCAGUGUCAGAAGGGAAGCUCCUUAAACAGGAAGGUGAAAAGAUCAUUUCAUCAAAAUCCAGUUAUCACAAUACUACGCCUCCUGAGAGGGUUCUGAGAGGCUUCAUGGACAGUUCCAAGUUGAGCUCAAUCAAGUGACUGAAGACACCAGAAACGGGCUGAUGCCCGGCUGCAGCUUGCUCCUUGGGAGCCCGUACUGAUUCUGCUGCAUAAAGAAUGCUAUCACCUCGAAGGGUCAUGUUAAUGAGCGACUCCUUUAUCAAUAAUAGAUAGAACUCGUCAGUGUCAGCCUUCAAAUUGGCUUGAAAAUGGAUUUUACCACUUUGUAAACAAAAGCACGCACAAUAGCGAACUCCUGGCAGAAAGGUUUGUGAUGUGUCACACAGAUCUCCCUGAGAACUCUUCAAGGCAAAAACCGAUCAUUUAGAAUACUGUAAGAAGAAUCGCUUCGACAGGAGAGGUGCCUCACACAUGCCCUGGACCUGCACAGGGACCAGGAGAGGCCAGAAGGACUGACAGCAGAAGCCAGAGGGCACCAGGGAAUCCAGGGAAAGCCGGCAGGAAACCCCACCCCAGAACUCCAGGAACACCCGAGGCUGCGGAGAUCAAGGGCUCCUGCCCUCUUCCCCUCCCCCACAGUACCACAUGCCACCUGCCAGAGCCAGAGAGAUCUGAGAACUUCCGUGCAACUGUGACAGCGGCUUAGUCCAACCGUUUGUACCGAAGCCGACUCCGGUCAGAAGAGCUUCUUUUUGCAAUGGGCAUUGGUUAAUGCAGAGACCCCCCUAAAACUGGUCAAAUUCAGGGGACACAAAGGAAGGGGGAGCAGAAAGAAUGUGAGGACCAGAAGAUGGGGAGGGAGGGCACUGUGUUAUGCUGUCUUCUAGCCCUGAUAUGUGGGUGCUCACGGACCCACAGUAGUUGUGCUUGCCUGCACAAGUUCAAGUCAGUCAGCUGUCCAGCGUUAGGAGGGAAGGGCCCCGCAGGCACUCACCCCUAGGUGAGGAGCUAUUGGCAGUUCAUGCCUACUAAGAGAAGGAGAGCCAUUUCUCUUUGGUGCUUGGCCUUGGUGGCUUGUCU
rnacentral:lncRNA from 1 species